UGCCACCCACUGGGAAAGUGAAGUCUGAAGAAGACGGAAAGGCAGUUGCUGUUUCUCUACAGAAGCAUUGGAGAAGGUCAAAGAGGUCACCAAAGUCAAUGAUGACUUGCGGAAGAAGAUAGACGAGUUGCAGUCAGAGAUGAAGAAGUUCAAGGCAGUGUUCUUGAAACAAGAGAAUCGCAUUAGGGUCUUGGAGACCAAGCUCGGAGAGCUGACUUCUACUGGCGCACCCCAGACUCAACAGCAGGCCCCAAGCACUCUCUCUGCAAAUACGGUCAACAACAAUUGUGACAUGGCCCCAGACGAAGUGUAGAUUGCAGAAGCUACCAGAACUGAGUCCUUCUCAUACACAAAGUUGGUGAUGUCUGUGUGAAUUGUGAAGCGUUUUCACUCAUACCUUUGUAAAUUUCCUUACAUCACAUUAUAGUCAGUUACUAAGAUAAGAGGAGAGUCUUCUUGCAAGCUAGAUGUGCCCAAAGCACUUCUUGCUCAAGCAUCUCCCUACUUGGUACACCCCAAUGAUGAGUAUGGCUCGAUGAGCAUCUUAAUAUUUCAGCCGUGUGGCAAACAUUCUUGAGAAAGGUUGUACUCUAUCCUUAUCUUUAAGGCUGUUUCUCAAGAGACCAGUGACUGUGGUGCAUUGAUUGUUUAUAGUCAUGUGACCCAAGUGAGUGGGGUAUAUAUAGUGUGUUUUAAGGACUGUCACAAGUCCAUUGCUCAGUAGUAACCAACCAGCUGACCCAGCCUAAGCCUAGCCAACUUCUUCCAUUAAUAUCCUCAUUACUGGUUGUUGUAUGUUCACUACCCUCUAGGAUGCUAGUACCCUUGUUCUGUUGCCCCAACUUAACUAGCUAACAGGACCUCAUCAGCAUCACAUUACUAAUGAUAACCCUUCAAUUAUUGUGAUCUCGGAUGUGAUUGUUAACAUUAAAUAUAAGAAUAUUUAAUAGGCAGUCAUUACCUGAAUCCAAUUAAUGUGGGAAGGGAAAAUCUUGCUGCAAACUAUCUGUACAAAAUUGUACAAUAUAUAAUACUUGUUUCCUUACAAAAGUAGGUAGAUAGAUAAAACCAAAUGAUUCAGUACAUUCUUGGUGUUGCAGGAAUUUCUGAAUCAAAAAUGUUUGAUGCACCGGCUCAGCUGAAGUUGCUGGCAGAUUUUAUUGAUCAGUACUACUAUCAUCAUCAUCUGUAUCACUAUUUUUGUUUAUAUAAUCAUUAAUAUUAUAAGUUUCAUUGUUGAUUAUUUUUUAUUUUUUAUGAUCAUUUUUAAACAGUAAUUUUACUUAUUUGGCUCAGAGUAGUUCCUAUGCAGUGUCCGCUUAUUAACACCCACUAGUGAGGUUGAGUGUAGCUUUAUCUUCUAUAAUCAAUAGGUUGAACAUGUCCAUCAGGUUAUUGUUGCAGUGAAUUACAACUGCAGCCUCUUUUAGCCCAAAUUUUGAAGCUUCAAGUUUGUUUGAGGACCUCCAAAAAGAGAGACAGAGGGGUCUGCAGUAAGCCAUAUUGUCAGUGUUGGUCAGGCUAGCUUGCUCCAUUACCAUGAUUUGACCUGACUUGAUGUUUCAGAAUUUGGGCUCAACUCUUCACUUCCUUCCAUUAUUCCUUGGUAUGAAUUUUAUACCCAGGACUAUUUGGUGAUUUAAACUACUAUUUAUUAAUUCUGUAUUUGUGUUAGACUAAUGCUUCUCAACUAUGAUGAGAAGAACUUGGAGCAGAGGCACACACCUGGUUUCUUCUGAGUUAACAGAGCCAAAUGUUGAAUGAAGGGUAUUUUAUGCUAUUACUAUUUUCAGAUAUUUUUAGAAGAAAAUUGUAUAUUCAAUGGUUUUGAUUUAUUACUAUGUAUAUUUUUUUUUCUUUGUUCCUGUAACCCUGAUCAUGUAGCUUCAUUGCUUCCAAAAGACUCCCUUACAUUUUCCUUUGUCUUUGGCCAAGUGUCUCGUCUUGUAAUUGUUCCAGUAGAGGUGCUCAAAAUUAGCACAUAUUGUGUUUCUACAGCUUAUAAUGUCUCGCAGGUGGUAAAGUUUUAUUGUUGGGUUCCUAGAGUCACUUGUUGCUUAUGCCUCAUGAGCAGGGAUAUUGUUAGUCAUUUUGUCCUCUGUAAAUUCCUCUUCUCAUUCGUAAAUGAAAUUAUAAUGAUGGAGCCAUAAAAUAUGUGCAAUUGUGUAAGACAAAUAAAAAAGUCAGUGUUUUCUACCUACUUAAGAGGAAAUGUCCUUUAUCCCUUUUUUUUUUUACUUUAAAAUUAUUCAUUUUGUCAUGCAAACUUAGGUAAGCUGUAGAUAAGAGAAUCCCUUGUUUUGUUGAAACCAAAGCCUUUGUUAAAUAGCUGUUGGGAUAAUAUACCACAGCUAUAUAUUUGAUUUCUUUGAAAGUUUUCCUUGUUAUCAUACAAAGAGGAAUAUGCAAUCUUUUGUGUUUUAUGGUUUCCCACUGUACGUGAAUUUGAAGUAGAAAUUCUUGAAAAUUGAAAGAGUGCAUUUUUUCUGAGGUGAUAACAUGCUUUGCAACAGUAAUUCUCUAUUGUUGUGUUCAGGAGUAAGGAGUGGGGUUGUGAAUCAUUCAACUGAACUCAAAACUUUUUCUUUUUCUUUAUGAAUUUGUUAAUAUUAUUAUUUAUUUAUUUUUUGUUACUUAAUUAUGUCUUGUGGUUUUAUUAACAAUAUGCAAAUCUUAUAAUGAAUUCGUAAAUUUUUAACUGAUUCAUCCUUUUCAAGUUCAAUUAAAAUACUAAAGUAUAUCAGAGAAAACUAAUUUUGAUUAUGCCAAUUAGUAAGCGAUGUUCAGCAUUUAAAGAAAAUGGUGCUAAGCUGUAAUUGUUUUAAAUGUAAGCCAUUAGUAGUAUUCCUAAGAAUCUUAAUUGAUAUAAAAAUCCACUGGGCUAUGUCUCUGUGCCUUAAUAAUAAUACAGGGCAUGUUUUAGUGCUCUGCAGUUUUCAUACCCCACCCCUUACUAUUUGCUGCAUAACUGAUUAAGGACUUAUAUGUGCCAUUUUGAUAACUGAAGCUCGAAAUAUGUAAGGUUUAUUCAGCACAAGCCGAGUUUAAUAUGGAAUAUUCAAGGAACCCUAUAUAACUGACCCAUACUUUUUUGAAUGCUUAAAUUUUAUACCAGUGUAAAUUGGAUAAUUUGAUUUUUUAUUUUAUUAUUAUUAUUAUUUUUUUUUAUAAUGCAACUGUUUUUGUUAGCACUAUUUAUAGUAAAGCCAUAAAGUGAAUAGUUUGGGUUGUGUAAAUGAUGAUUGUAUAAAUUCAGAUUGAAAUAAUUUAUUGAAAUAAUUAUAAAGUUAUGUAACUUUCAUGCGUUGUAUUUGUUUCAUUAAUAUUUCAUUAAUAUUUAAUACUUUAUUUACAACUUGGAAAUGACUUGUUAGUAUGUAGUAUUUAUUUACAAAAUUGUUUGCCAGUAAUUUUAAAAGAAUUUACAUAGUGUUAACAAUUGUACACAAUAUUUGCUUUUUAAAACAAAUCAAUAUAUAGAUUGCAUUCAUGACUGUACUGACAUCUCUAUGAACUAGGUCAGGGCAAAGCGGCCAUAUUACACAAAAGCAAGCAUUGGUCUAAUGGCUAGCAUAUUGCUGUACUUAAUGCACAAUUUUUGUAAUUGUAUUGAAAAUAAAUAGAAUUUUCUAGA
rnacentral:lncRNA from 1 species